rnacentral:rRNA from 1 species
UACGUAGGGUGCGAGCGUUAAUCGGAAUUACUGGGCGUAAAGCGUGCGCAGGCGGUUUUGUAAGCCAGGUGUGAAAUCCCCGGGCUUAACCUGGGAAUGGCAUUUGGGACUGCAAGGCUGGAGUGCGGCAGAGGAGACUGGAAUUCCUGGUGUAGCAGUGAAAUGCGUAGAGAUGCGGAGGAACACCGAUGGCGAAGGCAGCCCCCUGGGCUAGCACUGACGCUCAGGCACGAAAGCGUGGGGAGCAAACAGG